CACAGAAAAACAGGCCAGCAGAAUUCUGAGCAGGCCUCUGAAACUCCAACGUCACAAACUAAGCGCUGAAUCCAAAUCACUUUUCCGACUCCAAGCUUUUCCCUUACAUCUUGAUAAAUGUUUUUUUUCUUUUAUUCAUUCCUAUAAAUUUAUUAGGAAUAAGACGUGGCUCUAAACCCAGCUCCCAAAGUUUUAUUCUUCACCGCUGCUUCUCGCUAAAAGAAUUCCAAGAAGAAAACUACAACAACUCUUCAUCAGAGGUUGUGAAGUUCAAGGGUGGGGGAGAAGUGAAAAAGUAAAGGGUUAUGAGAAGGGAGAAAAAGAAAAUCGAGACUCCCAAGUUCUUUCCCCAGGUGCCAGCACUGUGGCCAGCAGGAGCCCCAACUCGCCGGACAGGACAAGGCAUCUUAGCAGUCACUCAUGACCACUCCGCGUCUGUCCCGCCGCUAAGGAAGUCGCCGGGGCCGCUAAAAGUCUAGGCGCCCCCUAUCUGGGGAGCCCGGCCCCAUCCUCCCAGGCGUGUGAACCCCGAAUAGGGACGCCGAGUCCCGCGGGUGGGUACCUUGCGGGCGCUCGGCGCGGGCGCCGCCUCUCGGGCGGGACUCCACGGCCCCGCAGGAGGACACCGAGGAGGUGGAGGAGAAGUCAGAGGAGUCGGAGCCGGGCGAGCCGGGCGCCGAGGGCACGGCGGACAGGUGCAGUAUUGGAAUAAAAAGCAAUGUCCACCCUUCGUCUCCUUCAAUACUAAAGUCUUCCUUGCCAGUGCUCUGCCUGCCAGAAGAGGGCACCAGAUCUCAUCACAGAUGGUUGUGAGCCACCACGUGGAUUCCGGGAAUUGAACUCAGGACCUCUGGAAGACCAGCCAGUGCUCUAAACCUCUGAGCCAUCUCUCCAGACCCCACACUGAUAAUGUUAAUGCUACUAGCUACUGAAAGUCCACCAUACACUAAAUGCUGUUAGGUUAUUUACAUUAUCUCUAGUAAUGACUGGAAGACUGGUCAAAGACUGAAGUAAAAUCAAUAAAGUCAAUGGUCAGAAACUAAAGUGGCAGCAAACAAGAUCAUGCCAACCACAGCUCAUGUGAGAAGAUAAAAAUACAGCUAGUUAUGGAUGGGACCAAUGUAACCCUGAUAACAACAACAAAAUCUGAACAGUCUGAUAUCGAGAGAUAUGUGAAUUUAAUAGAUUUAAUUACCUACCCUCCCCCCACGGACUGCUUUUGCACUUUCUGUAUACCUUAAGUCAGAAACUGGGGGCCACAGGCUCUAAGCCAAACUCAACCCUUUGUGCAAUUGGCUACCUAAGAAUAGUUUUUGCAUUUUUUAAUCAUUCAUUUAAAGUGCCUGUCUUAGUGCCUACAUAAUAUCCUCCAUCUUCUUCCGUGGCCCUCAAAACCUCAAAUAUCUCUACUUGGUCCAUGAUGGGGAAAAAAAAAUUCAAGCAAAGUCGCUUAAAGAUACUGUGAUACGACUGUAAAGCCUGCAACCCAAUUCUAGCAAUUUCCGGCUGUGUGACCUUCGGCCCCUUCCUUAAUCUCUCAGUAUCAGUUUAUGAUCCUAAAAAUUGAGAAAAGCUAGUAUUUAAAUCAAACUGUUAACGUCACAUGAGAUAACGUACAAUGCAUACACUGUACUAGACGUACUCUAGAAACUGAGCAAAUGUUAAUUCCCUUAUCAUUCCUUUACAUUAUUAUGAGCUGUGAGUAAACUCUCUACAUCUGUGUCAACUGGAAAAGGAGGAAUAGGUUACACACAGGACAAAAAGACCUGUUAGUCAUACCUUGUGUCUGCAUAGCAGACUCACCAACACCCCUGCCCCAGGCACUGUCACAUUUAUGCCACUAAACUGGUCAGGAAGGAGCUGUAUGUCAUUUAAAGUGUUGUACUGCUAAACUAGUAUACCAGAAAGCGUAGAAUGAACAGUUCCUGAAGAUGUACCCAUUAGCUAUGAGAGUCGGCAAAUCAGUUCUCCUCUCAGCAUCCUUCCAGCCUUCCUGUUUCUGGCCAGCGUGUCAAAUGCCAGGUCCUAAACCUCACUCUUGAUUUUAUAGGCUUGCCCUGCUACCGACAAGAUGACAUCUCUGUCAACCGACAUCAUCCUUUGCAGCGCAGAGUUCCAGAGACGGUCCAACAAACAGGGUGGGGGUGAGGGUGAACAAAAAAUGGGCUGCAGGAAGAGCAAAGGGCACACACAAAGGUGCUUACCAUCUCUGGUUUGCUUUGGUUUUAGUUUUAUGUGUGCAAAGUCUCAGCAUCCUUGAUCAGUGACUCUUGGCCAUUUCCCCCAGGUUUCCAGAUGGGUAUGACUUAUUAAAUGGAGCUCUGUGCCUA